rnacentral:rRNA from 1 species
GACGUAGGGCGCGAGCGUUGUCCGGAUUUAUUGGGCGUAAAGAGCUCGUAGGCGGCUUGUCGCGUCGACUGUGAAAUCCCGCGGCUCAACUGGGCGGGUCAGCGGAUACGGUGUGGCUGGAGCAAGCUAGGGGCAAUGGAAUUCCCGGUGUAGUGGUGGAAUGCGUAGAUAUCAGGAGGAACACCGGUGGCGAAGGCGGGUCUCUGGGCAACAACUGACGCUGAGGAGCGAAAGCGUGGGAGCGAACAGG